rnacentral:lncRNA from 1 species
AUGCAAAAGUCAAACAUCAAAUCCACAUAUUCUUCUGCAUUAUCCAUUGUUAUCAUCUCAUCUUCACCACUUGGCUUGAGAUCCACAGCUGUAAAACCAUAUAUUCUUGAGGAAGGGCAAAACUGGAAAUUUAAACUGAAAUCCUCUAUGCUAAGUGGAGGCCCAGAACCUGAUGGAUUCUUCAGCACUAGUUCUUGUAAUUUUGUGUUCUUCUCGUCUUCAGAAAGACCUUUGUUGCUUAAAAUCUGGCGCCUCUUGAUGGCAAGGUCUUUAAUUUCUUUUAAAAAUCUGGCUCUGUGUGGGUUUUACUAG